AGCCCUAAGUGGGUGGUAAACUCCAUCUAAGGCUAAAUAUGACCACGAGACCGAUAGCGAACAAGUACCGUGAGGGAAAGUUGAAAAGCACUUUGAAGAGAGAGUUCAAGAGUACGUGAAACCGUUUAGGGGUAAACCUGAGAAACCCGAAAGGUCGAAGGGAGAAAUUCAUUCGCGUUUCGCCGCAGGCGUGAGACGGUCGAGUGACGGAGAGCGUUCGCGUUUCUCCGCGCCUUCCGUUUUUCGAUCCGGCGGCGAACGCGUGCACUUUUCUCCUGGUAGGACGUCGCGAUCCGUUGGGCGUCGGUCUACGGCUCGCGGUGGAGCCCGGACGUACGGUUCGCCGUUACGUUCGGACCCGCGUGUCCCGGCCGACUCGCUCGACGGUAUACGAAAGGUUAAAGGCCGCUCUCGGAGCGUUCGGCUCGCUGCAAGCGCGUCAGUUGCGUUGGCGAUCGGACCCGGUGCCGAUUCCGACCUCUGGCGACUGUUGGCCGCGAAGUUCUCGAACAGACC
rnacentral:rRNA from 2 species